GACGAACGCUGGCGGCGUGCUUAACACAUGCAAGUCGAACGGUAAGGCCCUUCGGGGUACACGAGUGGCGAACGGGUGAGUAACACGUGGGUGAUCUGCCCUGCACUUCGGGAUAAGCCUGGGAAACUGGGUCUAAUACCGGAUAGGACCACUGCCUGCAUGGGUGGUGGUGGAAAGCUUUUGCGGCGUGGGAUGGGCCGGCGGCCUAUCAGCUUGUUGGUGGGGUGAUGGCCUACCAAGGCGACGACGGGUAGCCGGCCUGAGAGGGUGACCGGCCACACUGGGACUGAGAUACGGCCCAGACUCCUACGGGAGGCAGCAGUGGGGAAUAUUGCACAAUGGGCGCAAGCCUGAUGCAGCGACGCCGCGUGAGGGAUGACGGCCUUCGGGUUGUAAACCUCUUUCAGCACCGACGAAGCGCAAGUGACGGUAGGUGCAGAAGAAGGACCGGCCAACUACGUGCCAGCCGCCGCGGUAA
rnacentral:rRNA from 1 species